CAGAAAACACUCAAUUUAAACAAACACAUUGAUAACAUCGCAAAAUGUCAAGCCUUGAUGAUGCUUGGUCCGUUUCUGUGUGUGUUAAAUUGUAGUGUUGUGUCGUUGUUCUCCUUUUAUAUUUAAUGCGUUUCCCUCAGUUUUAGUUUGUUACCCCGAUUUUGUUUUUUGUCCAUGGAUUUAUGAGUUUGAACAACGGUAUACUACUGUUGCCUUUAUUUACCGACGUUAUGGU
rnacentral:lncRNA from 1 species